rnacentral:tRNA from 1 species
AAGGGCUUAGCUUAAUUAAAG